GCACAAGCGGUGAGCAUGUGGUUUAAUCGAAGCAACGCGAAGAACCUUUACCAGGUCUUGACAUCCCGAUGCUAUUUCUAGAGAUAGAAAGUUACUUCGGUACAUCGGUGACAGGUGGUGCAUGGUUGUCGUCAGCUCGUGUCGUGAGAUGUUGGGUUAAGUCCCGCAACGAGCGCAACCCCUAUUGUUAGUUGCCAUCAUUCAGUUGGGCACUCUAGCGAGACUGCCGGUAAUAAACCGGAGGAAGGUGGGGAUGACGUCAAAUCAUCAUGCCCCUUAUGACCUGGGCUACACACGUGCUACAAUGGUUGGUACAACGAGUUGCGAGUCGGUGACGGCGAGCUAAUCUCUUAAAGCCAAUCUCAGUUCGGAUUGUAGGCUGCAACUCGCCUACAUGAAGUCGGAAUCGCUAGUAAUCGCGGAUCAGCACGCCGCGGUGAAUACGUUCCCGGGCCUU
rnacentral:rRNA from 1 species